rnacentral:lncRNA from 1 species
UCAUCUUUGCUGGAAAGCAGCUCGAGGAUGGCCGCACCCUCGCUGACUACAACAUCCAGAAGGAGUCGACCCUCCACUUGGUGCUCAGGCUCAGGGGAGGCAUGCAGAUCUUCGUCAAGACCCUCACUGGCAAGACCAUCACGCUUGAGGUCGAGUCCUCAGACACGAUCGACAACGUGAAGGCCAAGAUCCAGGACAAGGAGGGCAUCCCCCCGGACCAGCAGCGUCUCAUCUUUGCUGGCAAGCAGCUUGAGGAUGGCCGCACCCUCGCUGACUACAACAUCCAGAAGGAGUCCACCCUCCACCUCGUGCUCAGGCUCAGGGGUGGAAUGCAGAUCUUCGUCAAGACCCUCACUGGCAAGACCAUCACUCUUGAGGUCGAGUCCUCAGACACGAUCGACAACGUGAAGGCCAAGAUCCAGGACAAGGAGGGCAUCCCCCCGGACCAGCAGCGUCUGAUCUUUGCCGGCAAGCAGCUGGAGGAUGGCCGCACCCUUGCUGACUACAACAUCCAGAAGGAGUCCACCCUCCACCUGGUGCUUCGCCUCCGGGGUGGCCAGUAACUUCACAGGGCUCAUUGUGCUGCUGUCGUCCAUGGGUUCACAAGUUUGGUUGUCUCUCCAAUGGAGAUUGUCUGUGUCGUGCUGUGUUCUGUGUCCUGGUCUUCUACUGGUGCAAGUCCUAUGUCGUCCGGUUGUGUUUGUGAACAUUUGCUGCUGUGCAGCAUCUUGGUUGAACUGUGAUGAAAUAAGUGAACCCUGAAUUUGUUUGGCAAU